rnacentral:rRNA from 1 species
GAUGAACGCUGGCGGCGUGCCUAAUACAUGCAAGUCGAGCGAACGGACGAGAAGCUUGCUUUUCUGAUGUUAGCGGCGGACGGGUGAGUAACACGUGGAUAACCUACCUAUAAGACUGGGAUAACUUCGGGAAACCGGAGCUAAUACCGGAUAAUAUUUUGAACCGCAUGGUUCAAAAGUGAAAGACGGUCUUGCUGUCACUUAUAGAUGGAUCCGCGCUGCAUUAGCUAGUUGGUAAGGUAACGGCUUACCAAGGCAACGAUGCAUAGCCGACCUGAGAGGGUGAUCGGCCACACUGGAACUGAGACACGGUCCAGACUCCUACGGGAGGCAUCAGUAGGGAAUCUUCCGCAAUGGGCGAAAGCCUGACGGAGCAACGCCGCGUGAGUGAUGAAGGUCUUCGGAUCGUAAAACUCUGCUAUUAGGGAAGAACAUAUGUGUAAGUAACUGUGCACAUCUUGACGGUACCUAAUCAGAAAGCCACGGCUAACUACGUG